GUGCCCAGAGUCGAAACCUUGACAACAGAUCCGGACAAGGACAUUGUGGAAUACGGACAACCCUUGGCCAUCACUUGCGUCGUCUCAGGCACCGAUUCGGAGAUCCUCUGGUUGAAAGACGGGUCGAAGCUGGCAUUUGGCUCUCACACUCCUGGAAGGGAGAUCUAUGCGUCGGCCGAGGACGCGAACAGAUUCGGAUCGACUGUGUACAUAGAGUCGAUGACCUUCAGAGACAACGGACACUACGUCUGCUACAUUCCAGGCGCUUCCAGGAACAUCCUCAUCAACAUCGAGGGACGCACUCCGAGGCUCCUUGGUGUCACAGGAGGAGACUUCUUCGAGGAUGAAACACUGGUACUUCGUUGCAGCAUGCAGUAUCUGAGGCAUUCUCAG